AUAUCAAUAAGCGGAGGAAAAGAAACUAACAAGGAUUCCCUUAGUAACGGCGAGUGAAGUGGGAAAAGCUCAAAUUUAAAAUCUGGUAGGGUAUCCUGCCCGAGUUGUAGUUUCGAGAAGUGUUUUCGGUACGCGCCUGGGUAUAAGUCCUUUGGAACAGGGCAUCAUAGAGGGUGAGAAUCCCGUUUAUGACCCGGAGUGGCGUACUAUGUGAUACACUUUCUAAGAGUCAGGUUGUUUGGGAAUGCAGCCUAAAAUGGGUGGUAAAUUUCAUCUAAAGCUAAAUACAGGCGAGAGACCGAUAGCGCACAAGUA
rnacentral:rRNA from 1 species